rnacentral:rRNA from 1 species
UUGAUCCUGCCGGACCCCACUGCUAUCGGGAUAGGACUAAGACAUGCUAGUCGCGUGCCUCAGCCAAAACGAGGCACGGCACACAGCUCAGUAACACGUGGCUAAUCUGCCCUUGGGAUAGGAAUACCCCCGGGAAACUGGGACUAAUUCCCAAUAGGUGAAGAACUCUGGAAUGAGUCUCCACCAGAAAAGAGCUUACGUUAUGCUCGUAAGUUUCGCCCAAGGAUGAGGCCGCGACCGAUCAGGUUGUUGGCGAGGUAAUGGCUCACCAAGCCUUUUACCGGUGCGGGCCGUGGGAGCGGGAGCCCGGAGAUGGGUACUGAGACAAGGACCCAGGCCCUACGGGGCGCAGCAGUCGCGAAAACUUUGCAAUAAGCGCAAGCUUGACAGGGCUAUCCCGAGUGCCAUCCGCUGAGGAAGGCUUUUACCCAGUCUAGAACGCUGGGGGAAUAAGGAGAGGGCAAGUCUGGUGUCAGCCGCCGCGGUAAUACCAGCUCUCCGAGUGGUGUGGAUGUUUAUUGGGCCUAAAGCAUCCGUAGCUGGCUAAGUUAGUCCCCUGUUAAAUCCACCGAAUUAAUCGUUGGAUCGCGGGGGAUACUGCUUGGCUAGGGGACGAGAGAGGCAGACGGUAUUUUCGGGGUAGGGGUGAAAUCCUAUAAUCCCGGGAAGACCACCAGUGGCGAAGGCUGUCUGCUAGAACGCGCCCGACGGUGAGGGAUGAAAGCUGGGGGAGCGAACCGGAUUAGAUACCCGGGUAGUCCCAGCUGUAAACGAUGCAGGCUAGGCGUUUGGACGGCCACGUGCCGUUCUAGUGCCGCAGGGAAGCUGUUAAGCCUGCCGCCUGGGGAGUACGAUCGCAAGAUUGAAACUUAAAGGAAUU